CCUACGGGUGGCAGCAGUGGGGAAUAUUGGACAAUGGGGGGAACCCUGAUCCAGCCAUGCCGCGUGUGUGAAGAAGGCCCUCGGGUUGUAAAGCACUUUCAGUGAGGAAGAACGCCUGGUGGUUAAUACCCAUCAGGAAAGACAUCACUCACAGAAGAAGCGCCGGCUAACUCCGUGCCAGCAGCCGCGGUAAUACGGAGGGUGCGAGCGUUAAUCGGAAUUACUGGGCGUAAAGCGCGCGUAGGUGGCUUGAUAAGCCGGUUGUGAAAGCCCCGGGCUCAACCUGGGAACGGCAUCCGGAACUGUCAAGCUAGAGUGCAGGAGAGGAAGGUAGAAUUCCCGGUGUAGCGGUGAAAUGCGUAGAGAUCGGGAGGAAUACCAGUGGCGAAGGCGGCCUUCUGGACUGACACUGACGCUGAGGUGCGAAAGCGUGGGUAGCAAACAGGAUUAGAUACCCGAGUAGUC
rnacentral:rRNA from 1 species